rnacentral:rRNA from 1 species
UACGGAGGAGGCAAGCGUUAUCCGGAAUUAUUGGGCGUAAAGCGUCCGCAGGUGGCGAUUCAAGUCUGCGGUCAAAGACUGGGGCUUAACCCUGGAAAGGCCGUGGAAACUGAAAAGCUAGAGUGCAGUAGGGGUAGAGGGAAUUCCCGGUGUAGCGGUGAAAUGCGUAGAGCUCGGGAAGAACAUCGGUGGCGAAAGCGGCGACCUGGGUAGAUACUGACGCUGAGGUGCGAAAGCGUGGGGAGCAAACAGG